UUGAGACCAUUGCUAACUUUUUGCAGGAGGUUGGCUGCAAUCAUGCUCAGAGUGUUGGAUUUUCUACUGAUGGAUUUGCUACAACCCACACAAUGAGGAAGUUGCAUCUCAUAUGGGUAACUGCUCGCAUGCACAUUGAAAUAUACAAGUAUCCAGCCUGGAGUGAUGUAGUUGAAGUAGAAACAUGGUGCCAAAAUGAAGGAAGAAUUGGAACCAGACGUGAUUGGAUUCUGACAGAUUAUGCUACUGGUCAAGUUAUAGGAAGAGCCACAAGCAAGUGGGUGAUGAUGAACCAAGAUACUAGGCGGCUUCAAAAAGUAACUGAUGAUGUCCGAGAUGAGUUAAUGGUUUACUGCCCACGAGAACUCAGAUUAGCAUUUCCAGAGGAUAAUAAUCGCAGCUUAAAGAAGAUUUCAAAGCUAGAAGAUCCUGUUCAAUAUUCCAAACUAGGACUUGUGCCUAGAAGAGCAGAUUUGGA
rnacentral:misc_RNA from 1 species